GUUUUCCGGGGCGCACGCGCCCCGGCCUCUUUGAAGC
rnacentral:other from 1 species